AAAAAAUUCAUAUUACAAGAACACAUUGGUAUUGAAGGAACUAGAUACUGUUCCGAAAUAUCACUUACUCGAACCGUCCUGACCGCGUAGCUCAGUUGGAAGAGCAUUGGGUUAGUAUUCCAAAGGUCGUAGGUUCGAAUGCCACCGUGGCCGGGCAUAUUUUUCAAGCUCGCCCGGUGUGGAUAUGCACUCAGAGUAACAUUACAAACAUAUUAUUCACCUGAGUACACAACACCAGCACAGAAAAAAAACAAC